UACAGAGGGUGCGAGCGUUGUUCGGAAUUAUUGGGCGUAAAGAGCUCGUAGGCGGCUUAGUAAGUCGGGUGUGAAACCUCCAGGCUCAACCUGGAGACACCACCCGAUACUGCUGUGGCUAGAGUCCGGUAGGGGAGCGUGGAAUUCCUGGUGUAGCGGUGAAAUGCGCAGAUAUCAGGAGGAACACCAGCGGCGAAGGCGGCGCUCUGGGCCGGUACUGACGCUGAGGAGCGAAAGCGUGGGGAGCAAACAGG
rnacentral:rRNA from 1 species